UACGUAGGGUGCGAGCGUUGUCCGGAAUUAUUGGGCGUAAAGGGUUCGUAGGUGGCCAACUAAGUCAGACGUGAAAUCCCUCAGCUCAACUGGGGAACUGCGUCUGAUACUGGUUGGCUUGAGUGCGGUAGGGGAGACUGGAAUUCCUGGUGUAGCGGUGAAAUGCGCAGAUAUCAGGAGGAACACCAAUAGCGAAGGCAGCUCGCUGGGACGGUACUGACGCUGAGGCGCGAAAGCGUGGGGAGCGAACAGG
rnacentral:rRNA from 1 species